UACGUAGGGGGCUAGCGUUGUCCGGAAUCAUUGGGCGUAAAGAGCGCGUAGGCGGCCCGGUAAGUCCGCUGUAAAAGUCAAAGGCUCAACCUUUGAAUGUCAGUGGAUACUGCCGGGCUAGAGUCCGGAAGAGGCGAGUGGAACUCCUGGUGUAGCGGUGGAAUGCGCAGAUAUCAGGAAGAACACCAACGGCGAAGGCAGCUCGCUGGGACGGUACUGACGCUGAGACGCGAAAGCGUGGGGAGCAAACAGG
rnacentral:rRNA from 1 species